rfam:Brevibacillus laterosporus LMG 15441, complete genome.
CGCGGGGUGGAGCAGCUCGGUAGCUCGUCGGGCUCAUAACCCGAAGGUCGCAGGUUCAAAUCCUGUCCCCGCAA